rnacentral:tRNA from 1 species
GCCAUUAUGGUGUAGUGGUUUGAGCACUGGACUAUAACUCUGAAGACUAGGGUUCGAAUCCCUGCUUGACC